GUCCACGCUGUAAACGUUGCGAACUAGGUGUCGGGGUAUUCACCCCUCCCGGUGCCGAAGCUAACGUCUUAAGUUCGCCGCCUGGGAAGUACGGCCGCAAGGCUAAAACUCAAAGGAAUUGACGGGGGCCCGCACAAGCGGUGGAGCAUGUGGUUCAAUUCGAUGCAACGCGAAGAACCUUACCUGGGCUUGACAUCCCGAGAAUCCCCCAGAAAUGGGGGAGUGCCCGUAAGGGAACUCGGAGACAGGUGCUGCAUGGCUGUCGU
rnacentral:rRNA from 1 species